rnacentral:rRNA from 1 species
UACGAAGGGGGCUAGCGUUGCUCGGAAUUACUGGGCGUAAAGAGCGUGUAGGCGGCCAGGUAGGUCUGCUGUGAAAACUCGAGGCUCAACCUCGAGACGUCGGCGGAAACCAUCUGGCUAGAGUCCGGAAGAGGAGAGUGGAAUUCCUGGUGUAGCGGUGAAAUGCGCAGAUAUCAGGAAGAACACCCGUGGCGAAGGCGGCUCUCUGGGACGGUACUGACGCUGAGACGCGAAAGCGUGGGGAGCGAACAGG